GACAGAGGGUGCAAACGUUGCUCGGAUUUACUGGGCGUAAAGCGCGAGUAGGCGGUUCUGUAAGUCGGGUGUGAAAACCCAGGGCUCAACCCUGGCAGUGCACACGAUACUGCGGAACUGGGGUACUGAAGAGGAGAGCGGAAUUCUCGGUGUAGAGGUGAAAUUCGUAGAUAUCGGGAGGAACACCAGUGGCGAAGGCGGCUCUCUGGGCAGAUACCGACGCUGAGACGCGAAAGCGUGGGAAGCAAACAGG
rnacentral:rRNA from 1 species